UACAGAGGUCCCGAGCGUUGUUCGGAUUCAUUGGGCGUAAAGGGUGCGUAGGCGGCGGGGCAAGUCUGAUGUGAAAUCCUGGGGCUCAACCUCAGAACUGCAUUGGAUACUGCCUUGCUAGAGUACUGGAGAGGGAACUGGAAUUUACGGUGUAGCAGUGAAAUGCGUAGAGAUCGUAAGGAAGGCCGGUGGCGAAGGCGAGUUCCUGGACAGUUACUGACGCUGAGGCACGAAGGCCAGGGGAGCAAACGGG
rnacentral:rRNA from 1 species